GACCACUCCAGUGGCCUAGUGGUUAGAGAGUAUCCACCUCAGAUGCGAAAGUCGUGGGUUCCAACCCCAGCUGAGUCA